CCUACGGGUGGCUGCAGUAGGGAAUAUUGGACAAUGGGCGAAAGCCUGAUCCAGCCAUGCCGCGUGAUAGAUGAAGGCCCUCUGGGUUGUAACUAUCUUUUAUCUGGGAAGAAACAAUCUUAUUCUUAAGAUCUUGACGGUACCAGAGGAAUAAGCACCGGCUAACUCCGUGCCAGCAGCCGCGGUAAUACGGAGGGUGCAGGAGUCACCCGGAUUCAAGGGUGCGUAGGCGUGCGGAUAAGUCAGUGGUGAAAGCUCCGAGCUUAACUUGGAAACUGCCAUUGAUACUGCCAGUCUUGAAUGUCGUAGAGGUAAGCGGAAUGUUGCAUGUAGCGGUGAAAUGCUUAGAUAUGUUACAGAACACCAAUUGCGAAGGCAGCUUACUAUGCGAUGAUUGACGCUGAGGCACGAAAGCGUGGGGAGCAAACAGGAUUAGAUACCCUAGUAGUC
rnacentral:rRNA from 1 species